UUCCGUCUCCGGCCUCGCCCUGAUCACUAUCUGGACGACUUACGGGUUUGUGUCGUUCUGGGUCCUUCCAUUGAGACCUGAUCCGGCGCGGCGGAUUGAAAGUGAAGCAGACUCGGUUCUCCGAAGAGCUUGGCCCGAGGCUGUUUAGUGUGAUGCCCAAGGACUUGAGAACCCGUGGCAUCUGCUGGCUUCUUUCCAGGACCAUCGUCCGGGAGGGACUUGGUCCCUGUUCUCCAUGAGCGCAUCUUCCAGUCUUAGCGCUCCAUCCGAGCUCUCAGGCACGGAGGCGGGAAACCCUCGCGCCUUAAACGCCUCCCGGCCUGGCCGUCCCUUUGAAAAGGCUUGUAGAAACAUCACCUCCACCUAGACUAUCCCAGGUCCCCAGAAUCCAUUUGCCUUCAGGAAGAAUGGAAAUGGCUCUGUGUAGACCAUAGGCUGACCAGAUCUCGGACAGCCUACAGGGAGGCGAUUCUGAAAUUACACUCCCAUAGCUAACGUGCACCUGGCCUUUUGAUCUGGAAGCUGAUUGAAGCUCUGCAUCGUCAGAAUCAGCCAGGCAACCUUGUAAUCCCAAUACUGUGGAGGCAGAUAGAAGAGAAUCACUGGUCCCAAGUACUACACAGCUUAACAUCAACCCAAUUUAAAAU
rnacentral:lncRNA from 1 species